rnacentral:rRNA from 1 species
AGCGAACGCUGGCGGCAGGCCUAACACAUGCAAGUCAAACGAAGUCUUCGGACUUAGUGGCGGACGGGUGAGUAACACGUGGGAACGUGCCUUUAGGUUCGGAAUAACUCAGGGAAACUUGUGCUAAUACCGAAUGUGCCCUUCGGGGGAAAGAUUUAUCGCCUUUAAAGCGGCCCGCGUCUGAUUAGCUAGUUGGUGAGGUAAAGGCUCACCAAGGCGACGAUCAGUAGCUGGUCUGAGAGGAUGAUCAGCCACAUUGGGACUGAGACACGGCCCAAACUCCUACGGGAGGCAGCAGUGGGGAAUCUUGCGCAAUGGGCGAAAGCCUGACGCAGCCAUGCCGCGUGAAUGAUGAAGGUCUUAGGAUUGUAAAAUCCUUUCACCGGUGAAGAUAAUGACUGUAGCCGGAGAAGAAGCCCCGGCUAACUUCGUGCCAGCAGCCGCCGUAAUAC